GAUGAACGGGGGAGGAGGGAAGCAUACAUGCAAGUCGAGCGAACAGACGAGGAGCUUGCUCCUCUGACGUUAGCGGCGGACGGGUGAGUAACACGUGGAUAACCUACCUAUAAGACUGGGAUAACUUCGGGAAACCGGAGCUAAUACCGGAUAAUAUAUUGAACCGCAUGGUUCAAUAGUGAAAGACGGUUUUGCUGUCACUUAUAGGUGGAUCCGCGCCGCAUUAGCUAGUUGGUAAGGUAACGGCUUACAAAGGCGACGAUGCGUAGCCGACCUGAGAGGGUGAACGGCCACACUGGAACUGAGACACGGUCCAGACUCCUACGGGAGGCAGCAGUAGGGAAUCUUACGCAAUGGGCGAAAGCCUGACGGAGCAACGCCGCGUGAGUGAUGAAGGUCUUCGGAUCGUAAAGCGCUGUUAUUAGGGAAGAACAAAUGUGUAAGUAACUAUGCACGUCUUGACGGUACCUAAUCAGAAAGCCACGGCUAACUACGUG
rnacentral:rRNA from 1 species